rnacentral:rRNA from 1 species
UACGGAGGGUGCGAGCGUUGUCCGGAAUCAUUGGGCGUAAAGGGCGCGUAGGUGGCCCCUCAAGCGUGCGGUGAAAGUCAGGGGCUCAACCCCUGAUCGGCCGUGCGAACUGGGGAGCUUGAGCACUGUAGAGGCAGGCGGAAUUCCGGGUGUAGCGGUGGAAUGCGUAGAUAUCGGGAGGAACACCAGUGGCGAAGGCGAUCACCUGGGGUUGUUCUGACGCUGAGGAGCGAAAGCUAGGGGAGCAAACGGG